rnacentral:lncRNA from 1 species
UACCCCUUUUCUUUUGGGGCCUAGUGGUGCGAUGAGCUGAGGUCAGUAAUUGCCCACUGGGAACUAUAAAUUAUAGUUCUCACGCCCUCUUUUUCUCGAUGUUUUUCAGAGCCUUCCACGCCGGGUGAGGCCAGGGACCGAGGGAAGGGCAUUGCUUCCAGCUAGCUCUUCAGCGAGGGACGAGUUGUUAGGUGGUCCACCUCUCGAUGUAUUUCUUUUUGUGAGAGGUUGAGAGUUGUACCCGUAUAUGUAUAGAGACCACCAUUUUUGUUCUACUUAUGGUUAUCUUUGUUUGACUAGCUUUAUUUUCUUUACCUUGGUGUAGAUGAUAGAACUUUA